AUUGAACGCUGGCGGCAGGCCUAACACAUGCAAGUCGAACGGUAACAGGAAGAAGCUUGCUUCUUUGCUGACGAGUGGCGGACGGGUGAGUAAUGUCUGGGAAACUGCCUGAUGGAGGGGGAUAACUACUGGAAACGGUAGCUAAUACCGCAUAACGUCGCAAGACCAAAGAGGGGGACCUUCGGGCCUCUUGCCAUCGGAUGUGCCCAGCUGGGAUUAGCUAGUAGGUGGGGUAACGGCUCACCUAGGCGACGAUCCCUAGCUGGUCUGAGUGGAUGACCGGCCACACUGGAACUGAGCCACGGUCCAGACUCCUACGGGAGGCAGCAGUGGGGAAUAUUGCACAAUGGGCGCAAGCCUGAUGCAGCCAUGCCGCGUGUAUGAAGAAGGCCUUCGGGUUGUAAAGUACUUUCAGCGGGGAGGAAGGGAGUAAAGUUAAUACCUUUGCUCAUUGACGUUACCCGCAGAAGAAGCACCGGCUAACUCCGUG
rnacentral:rRNA from 1 species